rnacentral:rRNA from 1 species
CGGGAGGCAGCAGUUAGGAAUCUUCCACAAUGGGCGAAAGCCUGAUGGAGCGACGCCGCGUAAGGGAUGAAGGCCCUCGGGUUGUAAACCUCUAAAAGGGGGACGAUAAUGACGGUACCCCCUGAAAAGCACCGGCUAACUCCGUGCCAGCAGCCGCGGUAAUACGGAGGGUGCAAGCGUUAUCCGGAAUCACUGGGCGUAAAGGGCGUGUAGGCGGCCUGUUAAGUCCGAUGUUAAAGACCGGGGCUCAACCCCGGCACGGCGUUGGAUACUGGCAGGCUAGACGGCUGGAGAGGAAAGUGGAAUUACCAGUGUAGCGGUGGAAUGCGUAGAUACUGGUAGGAACACCCAUUGCGAAGGCAGCUUUCUGGACAGCCCGUGACGCUGAGGCGCGAAAGUGUGGGGAGCAAACCGGAUUAGAUACCCGGGUAGUCCACACCCUAAAC